rnacentral:rRNA from 1 species
CCGCCCGUCACAUCACGGAAGUGGGCUGUACUAGAAGCAGGUGAGCCAACCGCAAGGAGGCAGCCUUCCAAGGUAUAACUCAUGAUUGGGGUG